AUUGAACGCUGGCGGCAGGCCUAACACAUGCAAGUCGAGCGGUGGAGAGAAGCUUGCUUCUCUUGAGAGCGGCGGACGGGUGAGUAAUGCCUAGGAAUCUGCCUGGUAGUGGGGGAUAACGUUCGGAAACGGACGCUAAUACCGCAUACGUCCUACGGGAGAAAGCAGGGGACCUUCGGGCCUUGCGCUAUCAGAUGAGCCUAGGUCGGAUUAGCUAGUUGGUGGGGUAAUGGCUCACCAAGGCGACGAUCCGUAACUGGUCUGGGAGGAUGAUCAGUCACACUGGAACUGAGACACGGUCCAGACUCCUACGGGAGGCAGCAGUGGGGAAUAUCGGACAAUGGGCGAAAGCCUGAUCCAGCCAUGCCGCGUGUGUGAAGAAGGUCUUCGGAUUGUAAAGCACUUUAAGUUGGGAGGAAGGGCAGUAAAUUAAUACUUUGCUGUUUUGACGUUACCGACAGAAUAAGCACCGGCUAACUCUGUGCCAGCCGCCGCAGUAA
rnacentral:rRNA from 1 species